GACGAACGCUGGCGGCGUGCUUAACACAUGCAAGUCGAACGGAAAGGCCCUGCUUUUGUGGGGUGCUCGAGUGGCGAACGGGUGAGUAACACGUGAGUAACCUGCCCUUGACUUUGGGAUAACUUCAGGAAACUGGGGCUAAUACCGGAUAGGAGCUCCUGCUGCAUGGUGGGGGUUGGAAAGUUUCGGCGGUUGGGGAUGGACUCGCGGCUUAUCAGCUUGUUGGUGGGGUAGUGGCUUACCAAGGCUUUGACGGGUAGCCGGCCUGAGAGGGUGACCGGCCACAUUGGGACUGAUACGGCCCAGACUCCUACGGGAGGCAGCAGUGGGGAAUAUUGCACAAUGGGCGGAAGCCUGAUGCAGCAACGCCGCGUGCGGGAUGAAGGCCUUCGGGUUGUAAACCGCUUUCGCCUGUGACGAAGCGUGAGUGACGGUAAUGGGUAAAGAAGCACCGGCUAACUACGUG
rnacentral:rRNA from 1 species